AGCGAACGCUGGCGGCAGGCUUAACACAUGCAAGUCGAGCGCUCGUAGCAAUACGGGAGCGGCAGACGGGUGAGUAACACGUGGGAACGUACCUUUUGGUUCGGAACAACACAGGGAAACUUGUGCUAAUACCGGAUAAGCCCUUACGGGGAAAGAUUUAUCGCCGAAAGAUCGGCCCGCGUCUGAUUAGCUAGUUGGUGAGGUAAUGGCUCACCAAGGCGACGAUCAGUAGCNGGUCUGAGAGGAUGAUCAGCCACAUUGGGACUGAGACACGGCCCAAACUCCUACGGGAGGCAGCAGUGGGGAAUAUUGGACAAUGGGCGCAAGCCUGAUCCAGCCAUGCCGCGUGAGUGAUGAAGGCCUUAGGGUUGUAAGCUCUUUCAGCGGGGAAGAUAAUGACGGUACCCGCAGAAGAAGCCCCGGCUAACUUCGUGCCAGCCGCCGCGGUAAC
rnacentral:rRNA from 1 species